UUGAACUUCUUACUGACAAAUAAAAUGUAUCUUUGAAUAAAACAAUAUUUAGUAUUGUUAAAUGCGAAUAAACAUGACCACCAUGUUUUUUGUUAACACAAAUGAUAACUAAAUUAAACUUAACUAAUUGUAAUAAACAGUUGGGCACUGAAAUUUUUUUAAUUGCAAGCUCGACAUACCUGACCGUUCCCGAAGCGUCCCUGGAUCUCCACCAUGGUUACCACGGAGAGUUUGCCGAGGUCAAUCUGCAGGUACUCAUACGAGUUCUGGCUGAUCAUCGGUUUGGGACACCAGGCUCCUCCCAUUGUCUCUCAACAGUUUGAGGCUCAUUACAGCUGGCAACAAAAAAUGUCCAAAGAAACACUGAAGUGAGAUUGAUGAAAGCUGCUGUGGGGGUCAUUAGCAGCAAUCAAAAUGAGUGCACUAGUGCCAAAAAUGGUACAUUGCUGAUGAAACAUGAGCGCAACUUUAACCAUGUAUAUGAAAUACGAGUACAACUUUCACCAAAUACAUGCAACAUGAGUACAACUUUCACCAAGUACUGCAGGGAAUGUGACUACAACUUUCACCAAGUACUGCAGGUAAUGUGACUACAACUUUCACCAAGUACUGCAGGUAAUGUGACUACAACUUUCACCUAGUACUGCAGGUAAUGUGACUACAACUUUCACCAAGUACUGCAGGUAAUGUGACUACAACUUUCACCAAGUACUGCAGGUACCACUCAGCUGGCAAAAUUCAUAUCCAGAUAUAAAAUUAUAAAUAAAGUUCCAACAAUUAAAUCAUUAACCAGCAUCAGCAGCUGCUGUAACCUCCUGAUAACAUGAUAAGUGUUAUUCAUGAUAAGAGAAGGAAGAUGGAAGCCAAAAAACAAAUGAAUCUUAAUUUGUGGUAGUUGGACCCACACACAAAUAAUCACAUGAAAUGAAUUUACAUUUAUAAGUUACGGAAAUAAACAUUUAUUUUAUUGUUGCAUAAUUGCUAUCGUAACCACUUUUUGAUUACAUUUUGUUGGAAUUGAUUGCUAAUAAAAUGGCAUA